CCUACGGGCGGCAGCAGUGGGGGAUAUUGGACAAUGGGGGGAACCCUGAUCCAGCGACGCCGCGUGAGUGAAGAAGUAUUUCGGUAUGUAAAGCUCUGUCAGCAGGGAAGAAAGCAAUGACGGUACCUGACCAAGAAGCCCCGGCUAACUACGUGCCAGCAGCCGCGGUAAUACGUAGGGGGCAAGCGUUAUCCGGAAUUACUGGGUGUAAAGGGAGCGUAGACGGCUGUGCAAGUCUGGAGUGAAAGGCGGGGGCCCAACCCCCGGACUGCUCUGGAAACUGUAUGGCUGGAGUGCAGGAGAGGUGAGCGGAAGUCCUGGUGUAGCGGUGAAAUGCGUAGAUAUUAGGAGGAACACCAGUGGCGAAGGCAGCAUACCGGCGCCCGACUGACGCUGAGGCACGAAAGCGUGGGGAUCGAACAGGAUUAGAUACCCCGGUAGUC
rnacentral:rRNA from 1 species